rnacentral:rRNA from 1 species
AUUGAACGCUGGCGGCAGGCCUAACACAUGCAAGUCGAGCGGCAGCGGGGGAAAGCUUGCUUUCCCGCCGGCGAGCGGCGGACGGGUGAGUAAUGUCUGGGAAACUGCCUGAUGGAGGGGGAUAACUACUGGAAACGGUAGCUAAUACCGCAUAACGUCUUCGGACCAAAGUGGGGACCUUCGGGCCUCAUGCCAUCAGAUGUGCCCCGAUGGGAUUAGCUUGUUGGUGGGGUAACGGCUCACCAAGGCGACGAUCCCUAGCUGGUCUGAGAGGAUGACCAGCCACACUGGAACUGAGACACGGUCCAGACUCCUACGGGAGGCAGCAGUGGGGAAUAUUGCACAAUGGGCGCAAGCCUGAUGCAGCCAUGCCGCGUGUAUGAAGAAGGCCUUCGGGUUGUAAAGUACUUUCAGCGGGGAGGAAGGUGUUGUGGUUAAUAACCAGAGCAAUUGACGUUACCCGCAGAAGAAGCACCGGCUAACUCCGUGCCAGCCGCCGCAGUAAGAC